GAUGCUCUUUCAAUUUUCUGUUUAUUACCGAUGUUAUAUAUUUUGUGUGUUACAGGUCUUCUUUAAUCCAGAGAUAUACAGCAAUGACUAUAUAAUCCAGUCUGCACCAAUUGACACUCGAAGAGCUUUGUAUAAGGUCUGAUACACAGAGUGCUCGCCUGCUCGGGGAUACUUAAGACUCUUUGCAAUACGUGAGAUAUGAUGAAAAUCUGGGCAAUGCGUGAGAAAGUUCUGGCACUCGGAGCGGUACAAGGAUGACCUUCGUUAUCUCAAAGUCUGGUUGGAACAUGCGGAGCAUUGCGCUGAUGCUGAAGUGAUUUAUAAGUUCUUGGAAGUUAAUGAUAUUCGGAAGACACAUGCUUUGUACUACAUAGCUUACGCAUUGCACAUGGAGUUCAAGGAAAUGCAAAGCCUGUGGAGAAGUUGAAUGAUGCUCACAAGAAGUUCAUGGUGAGAACUAUGAGUUGGUCCAUAACAGUUGAUGAUCUAAGACGUUUCUUCUCUAUUUCCACAUGAUGAUUAAUAUUUUUUUUUGUUUUUAGAAAGCAACUGGUGAUAUGUAGAAGAUCGAA